rnacentral:rRNA from 1 species
GACGAACGCUGGCGGCGUGCUUAACACAUGCAAGUCGAACGGAAAGGCCCUGCUUUUGUGGGGUGCUCGAGUGGCGAACGGGUGAGUGACACGUGAGUAACCUGCCCUUGACUUUGGGAUAACUUCAGGAAACUGGGGCUAAUACCGGAUAGGAGCUCCUGCUGCAUGGUGGGGGUUGGAAAGUUUCGGCGGUUGGGGAUGGACUCGCGGCUUAUCAGCUUGUUGGUGGGGUAGUGGCUUACCAAGGCUUUGACGGGUAGCCGGCCUGAGAGGGUGACCGGCCACAUUGGGACUGAGAGACGGCCCAGACUCCUACGGGAGGCAGCAGUGGGGAAUAUUGCACAAUGGGCGGAAGCCUGAUGCAGCAACGCCGCGUGCGGGAUGACGGCCUUCGGGUUGUAAACCGCUUUCGCCUGUGACGAAGCGUGAGUGACGGUAAUGGGUAAAGAAGCACCGGCUAACUACGUG